GAGAGAGAGAGAGGGAGAGAGAGAGAGAGAGAGAAAAAAAACACAUGACAGUGUAAAACUGAAUCUGCUUAAAAAUAUCCCUUGACUGGACUGGAUAUAAACGUGGGAUUUAUG